AUGCGAUCAAUUUAAAAUAUUUAGCUUUUAGUUCUCACUUGGAGUUCCGUUUGUAUUUAUUUUAGAGUUGCCUUUCUGAGCUUUUUGCUCCUUAAGGGCUGCCAGGCCUUACUUGGGGCCUGGGGACAUAGCAUGGUUUUAAUGCCCAUUUUAAUCAGUGCUUCCUCAUGCCUUCCUAAUUUGGAUGUUUUUCAGAAGGAGGAGAUAAUGUAUGUGAAAGUGUCUUGGAAAACAAAGUUUUAUAGAACUGCAAGCCAUCUUGAUCAUUAAUUUGGAGUCUUUUUUGGUGCUUUAUAUGUAGCACAGAAGACUGGAAAGAUGGUCAUGCAGAUGGGAUCUGAAGCGUGACCCUGUAUUGUAGCCGUAUGAUCUGGGAUGACAUUUCUGAACUGUGAACUGGAGACUGUAAUUUCCAUUUCAUACAAUGGUAUGAGGAUCCAAUGAGAUAUUAUGUGAGUGGAAACAACUCUACAUAGAAGAGGAUUAAUAAAUGGCAAGGAAGCAGAAGCACAGAGUCCAAACCGAGCAGUCUGGCCCUGGAGUGAGUGCAUGCUUCCAUCGCUAUGCCACAGCGCCUCUACUUAGAUCAGAUGAUGACUAUCCAAUGGCAGGAAAUCAGAAAGGAGGAGAAUGGGCACCUGCUAUACAGAGAGAUUUCCGAAGGAUAAAGAAAUCGCUUGUGAAAAAUUGAUAAAAGCUGUCAACUGAGCAAUGCAGGCAGUAGUUAGGACCAUGGGCCCAGGGGUCAGACUGCUUGAGUGGCACUGCUCCUCAGCUGCGUGACCUUGGAUGGAUUACUCAACAUCUCUGUGUCCCAGUUUCCUUAUCUGUCAAGUACAGAUGAUUAAUGAUAUCCACCUAUAGCAUUGUGGUGGAGAUUAUCUGAUUAAGAUACCUGUAAGUGUACCUGACAGACAGAAUGUGCUCAGUCAACGCUCAUUAUUCCUAUAACAUUUGGGCAAGUGGUCCCCCAUAAGAUCACAUUCCGCAGAUCAAACAUGAAGAGUGUCUUAUGCUAAUCUCCAAUUUUGUCUGGAUAAUUUAGUCUAAGAAACCUCCCACACUUGCUCAUUUUUGUCCUUCUAAGAGUUAGUGCACAGUCGCAACGAUGACAAAAAUGUUGUUGAAUAAAGAAUAAAAUAAACUGAUUUUUCUGUUAUUUUUCAAGGUGAAACCUGAAUAACAACUCUCCCCAGCCCCCAGACAUAAAUUCUAUGAACUCUGAAGUUUGGAUUACUUUUCAAUUGGAUUCAGUGUUGCUGAGUGUUUUUCAGUACUGAUUAUCCUCUGAUAAUGAAGACCUAUCUCUUGGGAUUUUUGCGAGGAUUGAAUGAAAUAGCACUUGUACAGUACAAGGAAUAUAGUGAAUGCCGACGAUGGCUAGUGACCCUUAGGACUUGGUUCUUAUUUCUAUCAGAUGGGAAGUGGCACGGGCAAAGGACACACAGAAGAGUGGG